CAAAAAUGUGCACCUGCCAGUUCCAGCAAAGAGUUGUCCUUGGGGAAGUGGUGCUAACAGGGCUGAGGAGAGGAAGGUCCCCAUUGGAGCACUGCAGAGCAGCUGUGCAGGCAGCCCUGGUCGCACACCCUGUGGGAGCCUGGUGGCUGUGAACUGCUGCUUCCUAACCUGGAGCCUUUCACCCUUUGCAACUCACAGUGCUCCGGUUUGCCAUCCUCAUCUCUACAGCUGAUCUCAGCAGCUGUGAUGGGAUGAUUUCAUGAUUACCUGCAGGUUGUGCGUGGUGCCAGCGUGCAUCUCUCACUCUGUAGUAUCCAAGUUUCCAUGAAUUGAUUUACCUUUGCAGGGGAAAAUAAGAGAAGGGCUUGGUUUGCACUUCCAGCUUCACUGAGAGAGGGCUAUGCAGAAAAGGAGACUUUAUCCAGAUAAUGCCUGCAGGCAGAUAUUGCGUGCGUGGGAUGGAUGGUGCAAUGAAGAAGCACUUAGGAAAAUUGGAUGUCGUUGUGUCAUGUGGAAGCACGAACCCUUCUGGGGAAUGGAGCUGAGGGAGAUGGGGGCUCUGGGGGCCCCGACUCCAUUCCUUAUGGGCUCUUUUAGUUGUCGGUGUUUCGCUGUCGUUUUGUGAUGUGAGUUUCAAUAAUUUCUGGGUUUGGACCAACUUCAUGAUGCAUUAAAUGAACCCUGUAUUAUAGCUUGGAUGUUUCAUAAGUGUUUCUAAUUAUUCUCAUGUAGGGAGGUAUUAAAUAGCAUAAUUAUUUG
ensembl:lncRNA